ACGGACACAUCACGUUGAAACACAGGUUUCUGUACGAUCACCGAAGUUAAGCAAUGUCGAGCUUGUUUAAUACCUAGAUGGGUAACCGCUUAGAAAUACCAGGUGCUGUAA